rnacentral:rRNA from 1 species
GAUGACCGAGUGGCGGACGGGUGAGUAAUGCUUGGGAACUUGCCUUUGCGAGGGGGAUAACAGUUGGAAACGACUGCUAAUACCGCAUAAUGUCUUCGGACCAAACGGGGCUUCGGCUCCGGCGCAAAGAGAGGCCCAAGUGAGAUUAGCUAGUUGGUAAGGUAACGGCUUACCAAGGCGACGAUCUCUAGCUGUUCUGAGAGGAAGAUCAGCCACACUGGGACUGAGACACGGCCCAGACUCCUACGGGAGGCAGCAGUGGGGAAUAUUGCACAAUGGGGGAAACCCUGAUGCAGCCAUGCCGCGUGUGUGAAGAAGGCCUUCGGGUUGUAAAGCACUUUCAGUUGUGAGGAAAAGUUAGUAGUUAAUACCUGCUAGCCGUGACGUUAACAACAGAAGAAGCACCGGCUAACUCCGUGCCAGCAGCCGCGGUAAUACGGAGGGUGCGAGCGUUAAUCGGAAUUACUGGGCGUAAAGCGCACGCAGGCGGUUUGUUAAGCUAGAUGUGAAAGCCCCGGGCUCAACCUGGGAUGGUCAUUUAGAACUGGCAGACUAGAGUCUUGGAGAGGGGAGUGGAAUUCCAGGUGUAG